AGAGAAUUGGCCGAGUGGUUUAAGGCGGUAGUCUUGAGUACUAUUAAGAAUUUUUUUCUUCAUGGGUUCGAAUCCCAUAUUCUCUG
rnacentral:tRNA from 1 species